rnacentral:tRNA from 2 species
GGGGAUGUGGCGAAAUUGGCAGACGCGCUAGAUUUAGGUUCUAGUCUCCGGGUGUGGGUUCGAGUCCCUCCAUCCCUACCA